UUUGGGAGAAAAUUAGAAAAUCUUAGUCUGCCUGUCUAUCCACAGUGAUGUUCUGCCACGGAUGGCAGAACAAGGCUUCUCGAGCCAAGGAUGGCUCGUUGAACGCCGUUCACGUCACUCCGAGAAAAAGUAAAACAGGCAGGCUUAGCUUUUCUUAUUUUCGGACAAC
rfam:Roseburia intestinalis XB6B4 draft genome.